UACGUAGGGUCCGAGCGUUGUCCGGAAUUAUUGGGCGUAAAGGGCUCGUAGGCGGUUUGUCGCGUCGGGAGUGAAAACUCAGGGCUCAACCCUGAGCGUGCUUCCGAUACGGGCAGACUAGAGGUAUUCAGGGGAGAACGGAAUUCCUGGUGUAGCGGUGGAAUGCGCAGAUAUCAGGAGGAACACCGGUGGCGAAGGCGGUUCUCUGGGAAUUACCUGACGCUGAGGAGCGAAAGCCAGGGGAGCAAACGGG
rnacentral:rRNA from 1 species